GAGCGUGGCGGGCCCUGCGGGAGCGUGUACGCGGGGGUGGCGGGCUCUGCGGGAGCGUGUACGUGAGCGUGGCGGGCCCUGCGGGAGCAAGUACGCAGGAGCGGGGUUUGGGGGACUUUGCGGGAGAGGCUCCAGAGGAGACACUGCCAGGUCUCUGCUGGAGGGAGAUGACCACUUUAGCCCGGAAAAUAGACUGGACAUGCAAGAAACAACACGAAAAACAUGGCGUAACAGCUCGGCCAUGAGCGCCGGUGGGUGCAGUGGGGAGAGGAACUGCUUGAGGUGGACCCGCUCUCCAGGGAGUCCUCCUUCCGGCGGCGGAGGCCUGAGCCGGGUGUGGAGAAUUGCGCUCUGUUUGUCCAGCAGGAGGGAGGCCGUUCUCCUCAGGCAGAUAAAGAGAGCAAGUACUUAACGGAGACACACGGCAGCAUGGAGACGGGGGGGUCACCCCACGACCGUUGGAGCAGCUGUGGUCUUUCCACUAAGAAGUAAAGUUUGCAUCUGGUCCACACCACUGUGCUCUGAAUAUCAGAAAUGGGAAGCGGCACCCAAUGCUUCCAGUGAGGCAAGAACAAGUCACAGCAGCACAACAUCUGCAGCUGGAGAGGGGAUCAGCCUUUUCCAGAACAUUCCCCUCCUGAGCCAAGGGGACAGUGUAGUGGAAACCAGACUCACUUCUCCCUGAGGUAGGAAGGGGGAAUGAGGGUGGAGGGCUGGGAGGUGCCGCGUGACCACCCAAAGAAAGGUCUCAAGGUCAGGGAAUCCUGGAGCAGGGUGCUUCCUCUUCAGACUGAGGGAUUUUAAAAGCCCAAAGGAGAACUUAGACCCAAGGUGGGAGCUCCAGCUUGCUCUUCCUGCCUUGAUGGUCUUGCCUUUCCCUUUGGAUGGGGUGGCGCACCUUGUGGUCUGUGCUCAGAAAGGGUUAAGUCUCGCCCCCAGCCCCGGGAUCUGUCAGCCUUGGCGCUGAAGCUUCCUGUGGGGAGAUUGCCACCCUGGAGCGGACCAGAGCCUGGCGCCCCAAGAGAGACGGCACAGACUCCCUAGAGGGACGGCGUGUGGUCACCAGGGAUGGAAAGGAGUCGGCCUUUACUGGGCAGUGACCAUGCACUGGGCCAGGGGCAGGGAUCACAUCUCAGCUCCACGUCGCCGCUUCAAGACAGGUGCGAUCGUCUCUGUUUUAUAGAAAAGGAAACUGAGUCUCUGUGGGCCUGGUCCUAACCCAGUCACACGCAAGCAUUCAUGCCUGCGUGAAGUGUGUCUGGCUUCACCCUGCCCUGCCUAGUGGCCUCAGAGAGAGGGGACCCACAGCUGGAGGCUGGGACCCCACGUGGACUUCCCGUCCCAGCUUGGCACAUGUACACCAUGCCCAUGGGCGCUCUUGCCACAGAUGCAGGAGGACAGAGGACGGGGAGUGGAGCUGGUGGACCCAGCUCUGAGAUGCUGGGGCUCACACACGCUGGGCAGGCCUCUCAGAACACACAGCCCACAUGCCUGCCUGCCUGCCCAGCCACGGCCCCCGCACCGACAGAGCACCCCCAGACACCCUGUUCACACCUUGGACCCAUUCCUGGACCCCCUGGAUGUUUCUGGCAGCCCCCCAGACAGCGAUGCCACAUGCGUCCUGCUCUGGAAUUCCAUUAUGAGCUCCCAGUGAAGACCAAGUACACCUUUAUAAUAAAAAUACCACCCUUUGUUGGCACACGAACUCUCCAUUAGAUAUUUAUCAAAUGUUUAAAAAGUUGGCCCAGAACCACACAUGCUUUACCACGAGGCUCCUUGGUAGCUGGAGGAAAGCAAGGCCAUCGAAGGUGGAGCCUGGGGUGCCUCCAUCCAAGCCCUCAUCUUGCAGACAGGCGGCUCGCCUGGGCUCACCUGUGAGCCCACACGCAGAGCCACCUGCGGCGUUUGCGCAGAGCCUCUGCGGCCACCAGGAAGUCACACAGCCCUCGGUGGGUCCGCAGUGGAUCAACACAGGCACGGCUGCACCUGAGAUUCAGAAGAAUGGGCAGAUGGUGCUUUCCUGCAUGUGUAAGAGGAAUUCAUGGGGCGAAUAACCCAACAGAGGUAAACAUUAGGGGCUGAAGUGACUUAAGCAUAUUAAAAUGUAGUUUUUCUACUUAAGCUGGUUUCUCCAUCACCAGCUCCAUCACCCCAUCCAUCUAUCUGCCUCCAUCACCCCAUCCAUCUGUCUGUAGACAAAGAGAGGUGUUACUCAAUGCCCAGGAGUAAUUUAGCAUUUAGUUUUGAAGGGUGCCGUGAAAACAGAGAUGCCGAGUGUUGCCAAAGACUAGGGCCCAUUUGCCCUGAAGCCUGCGCUGGAGCUCCACUUCUCAGCUCCUGGCCUGGCUGAGUGUGCGCCACGGGCACUCCUGGUGUUCCAGGGAACUGUGGAGGCCGCUGGGAAGGAAGCUGUUUAUUGGCAUCAUCUUGGAUUCACUGAAGAAAGCCUCAUGUCACAACCUCUGGCUGUUGCUAGCUGCGCUGGGUGUUGAAAGGACAGAGGCAGGGGGCGCCCCGGGGCAGCCAGGGGCCUUAUGGCAUAGUCUUCCCCAUGAAGAAGCAAAGGAGAGCAUCAGAUCACUCUAAAACCCUAGUGCAAACACACGGGCUGCCGCAGUGUAGACAGCCGGACUGUGCUGGCCCGUAGCCAGGCCUGUGGCUUGCUCCCGCCACCGGGCUCAGCUGUGUGGACACAGCAAGCUCUCAGUAUACAAUCGGCACUCAUGAAUCCUGUCUUUCUCAUCCUAAAUGCCCAUCAAUUUUGUAAAGCAACCUUACUUGAAGUCAUGUCAAAAGCUGUGCACGUCCCAGGUGGGCUGAAGAAGAGGCAAAAUUGGCGUAAAAGGAGCCAAGAAUUCUCCAUUUGUUGAUGAAAGGUAAAAUUGUCCACCUGGCACGUGCUGCCUGGCUGACCAAGAGUGAAGAAAUGUUUUUUUCUGGCUUUUUUUCUAAAUGCAUUUGCUAUGCUAGGCUGAAACAGAAAUGCUAUUCACAUCUGGUGGAGCAGACCUUAUUUCCACUCUCUGGACAUGCUCCGAAGCGCGGCCUGAAGUAGAUCAAGUCCCCAGGGAGCUCAAGCCUGAUUCCAAGGAGAUUGCCAAUAUUUUAGGAGGGAGUAAACAUUUUCUGAAGUUUUUUGUUGUCUAAAGCCAAAAAAUGCACUUGCGCCUCCUGAGAGGACAAAGAGGAAGAGAGACGGGGAGAGGGGACAAAGGAGCAGAGACGGACAGCAAAUCCACGCAGAGGAGGGAAGGUGGGGGAUGCCAGGCCCCUCUGGGUGAGUCGAAGAUCUCCACCAGAGGCUCAUUUCAAAGGGGAAGGCGGCACCUUUAUUUUCAAAAGAGGCACCGCUCCUGGCUUCCUGUGAGCUCCACUUCUACCCUAGUUAGAGGAGGAGGGUUUGAUGGGGCUCAGGGUCAUGGCCGAGGCUCUCCAGCCUGUGUGGAUGAAUGCACUCGCAGAUCUCAUCUCUCUGCUGCUCCCUCCCCAGCCUGAUGUCCAGCCCUGCCCUUGCACUCUAGUCUCAUACGCUAUUGCUCACUUGGCAUCUCAAAUGACAGUUGCCCAAAACAUAAUUCCAGCUUCUCCUUCCAGAUUUGUUUCAUCUCCAUUUUGUCUCACUAAAGGACAACCCCACCCACUCAGCCACCUAAGCCAGAACCCCAUGUGCCAUGCACCAGUUCUUCUUCUCACUUGUCUGCUUAAUUAAAUCCUCGGCGACCCUUGCUAACAGCACCUUGGAAGCUC